rnacentral:lncRNA from 1 species
CAGGAAUAUAGGUUUAUUUCAUUAAAAAAUAAAACAAAACAAACCAGACUCAUCCCCCAAAGAGUACUUUAUCCUUUAAAGCAGCAGCAAUCACAAGGCACAUAUGUACAAAAUACCUCAAGCAAAAUAGAAACUGAACAUUCAAAAAGUAUGUGUUGUUUAAAAAGAUGUUGAAGACCAUUUGAGUAAUAAGCACAGGUUAUAAAAAUCACAAUUUUAUUCUUCUACCUUUAACAAGAGAAGGAAUGAUGGCAUAAUAUUUAUAUGCUAUAUUGUGGCACGUAUAACAAACCUUUACACCACAUAACCUGGUUUGCUAAAGAAAAAACAGGUAAAGUACUGCUUAAAAAUGGUAUUUUUAGUGCUUUCACAUCUUUUGUAGAUAUCUGGAAUUUGUAAGAUGAAAAGAAAAAUUCUCUUUUUCCUUGGCUUAGUAAAAGCCUGUAGUUACACGUCCCUAGGCAAACCCACCAUACAAAAAAGGAAUACAUUUGAGAUAUUCUAAAAUAUAAAGGAUAUGAUUUAUAUUAUGGGAUCAACAUAAUAACCAACUCUCUUCCUAAAACAGAUUAGAGGUGAACACAUAAGAAAUGUAAAGAAAGGUUAAUUACAUUAAAAUAAAAUAGCUUCUGAUUUAAAUUAUUGCUCACUUAGGAAGUAUAAUGAAUAUUCUCUGGCUAAGGAUGCUCAGAUUAGAAAUGGUGUGACAUCAAUAUUUAGUGUGUACAAAAGUUCUAAGAUUCAAAUACAAUGCAAAGUUUAUA